rnacentral:rRNA from 1 species
UACGGAGGGUGCAAGCGUUAAUCGGAAUUACUGGGCGUAAAGCGCGCGUAGGCGGUUUUUUAAGUCGGAUGUGAAAGCCCCGGGCUCAACCUGGGAACUGCAUCCGAUACUGGAAGACUAGAAUGCGGGAGAGGGAGGUAGAAUUCCAUGUGUAGCAGUGAAAUGCGUAGAUAUAUGGAGGAAUACCAGUGGCGAAGGCGGCCUCCUGGCUCUACAUUGACGCUGAGGUGCGAAAGCGUGGGGAGCAAACGGC